rnacentral:snRNA from 1 species
GGAUGUGAGGGCGAUCUGGCUGCGACAUCUGUCACCCCAUUGAUCGCCAGGGUUGAUUCGGCUAAUCUGGCUGGCUAGGCGGAUGUCCCCUUCCUCCCUCACCUCUCCAUGUGCGUCCCUCCCCAAGCUGCGCGCUCCGUGGAAGAGGACGACCAUCCCCGAUAGAGGAGGACCGUUCUUCCAUCAAGUGUGUAGGAGUAGCUGCGCUCCCCUGCUAGAACCUCCAAACAAGCUCUCAAGAAUAUAAAACUUAAAUCCAGAACAUUUAAUACAAAAGAUAGAGCUAAAAGCUAAGAAAUAAAUGAACAGAGGUGAUGGGGGGGGCAAGGUAAAAGUACUUUAUGU